UGGUCUCUUGGGGCUUGCCCUUAUAAGGCUUCCCCCCUCCUUACCUCUUUCUGAUGUGGGAUACUUUCAAUCCACCUCAUAGGGCUUCUACCCCCCAUAAGGCCUGAGCGUCCUCGCUCAGCACACCGUACUCAUGAGGCCCAGGCUCUAAUACCAAUUGUAACAUCUUCUGGGCCCACAACAGUAGAUAUUGUCCGCUUUGGGUUCGAGGGCCUUUGCCCAGCCUUCCCCUCACGGUUUUGUUUCUCAGGGUUCACGCAAGCGUCCUUCCCUUGAAAACGCGUCUACUGUGGUCUCUUGGGGCUUGCCCUUAUAAGGCUUCCCCCCUCCUUACCUCUUUCCGAUGUGGGAUACUUUCAAUCCACCUCAUAGGGCUUCUACCCCCCAUAAGGCCUGAGCGUCCUUGCUCAGCACACCGUACUCAUGAGGCCUAGGCUCUGAUACCAAUUGUAACAUCCUCUGGGCCCACAACAGUAGAUAUUGUCCGCUUUGGGUUCGAGGGCCUUUGCCCAGCCUUCCCCUCACGGUUUUGUUUCUCAGGGUUCACGCAAGCGUCCUUC
rnacentral:lncRNA from 1 species